UACAGAGGUCUCAAGCGUUGUUCGGAUUCAUUGGGCGUAAAGGGUGCGUAGGCGGCGCGGUAAGUCGGGUGUGAAAUCUCGGAGCUUAACUCCGAAACUGCAUUCGAUACUGCCGUGCUUGAGGACUGGAGAGGAGACUGGAAUUUACGGUGUAGCGGUGAAAUGCGUAGAUAUCGGGAGGAAUACCAGUGGCGAAGGCGGCACUCUGGGCCGGAACUGACGCUGAGGAGCGAAAGCGUGGGUAGCAAACAGG
rnacentral:rRNA from 1 species